UCCAGAUUCAUUUCCGAAAUAACUCACCAAC
rnacentral:piRNA from 1 species